GCAGGCCCCCACGGACAGCAUC
rnacentral:misc_RNA from 1 species